rnacentral:misc_RNA from 1 species
UUCUUAUUAUUAUUAUUAUUAUUUGUACAAUUUUUCAGCUCCACUUUGGUUUUCUAGUUUUCCCCCUUUUUUUAUCACCCCUAUUACAGAAUAAUUAAAGCUUAAUCUUUCCCAUUCAGUUUCAAAGUUAAAAGUCCUAUCCCAGAUUAAAGCUUUCUGCAUUGCACAUGCAUGUUAUAAUUAGAGAAACUAGAUGAUCAAAUUUUUUUUAAUCCCGUGCCUUAUCAUAACAAACCUCCCUAAGAACAAACAACUAAUGGAGAGCAUAGUCCAGCAUAGCACAAGCAAACAAAUGUAUCUUCAGAUGUUAUUAUGAUUUAUGAGUGUCAUAACUCAUAGUUCUUGACCAAGAACUUCUCUAAUGUUCAGUCCAUGUAUGACCAGAUAAAUCCUGCUAUAGAAUGGACCAGAUAAGGGUGACACAACAAGGAAAUGAUAGUAACAUUAGAGAUGUACAAGUUAUUUUAGUCAAGAAAUAUUGAUAACAGUACCAAAUACAGAUUGAUAACCAAAGACAAUAAAUUACAUUUCCAAACUGAAUGCAGCAAAUGACUACCUUAAUAAAGCAGUAGAAUGUUU